GAUGAACGCUGGCGGCGUGCCUAAUACAUGCAAGUCGAGCGAACGGACGAGAAGCUUGCUUCUCUGAUGUUAGCGGCGGACGGGUGAGUAACACGUGGAUAACCUACCUAUAAGACUGGGAUAACUUCGGGAAACCGGAGCUAAUACCGGAUAAUAUUUUGAACCGCAUGGUUCAAAAGUGAAAGACGGUCUUGCUGUCACUUAUAGAUGGAUCCGCGCUGCAUUAGCUAGUUGGUAAGGUAACGGCUUACCAAGGCAACGAUGCAUAGCCGACCUGAGAGGGUGAUCGGCCACACUGGAACUGAGACACGGUCCAGACUACUACGGGAGGCAGCAGUAGGGAAUCUUCCGCAAUGGGCGAAAGCCUGACGGAGCAACGCCGCGUGAGUGAUGAAGGUCUUCGGAUCGUAAAACUCUGUUAUUAGUGAAGAACAUAUGUGUAAGUAACUGUGCACAUCUUGACGGUACCUAAUCAGAAAGCCACGGCUAACUACGUG
rnacentral:rRNA from 1 species